UACAGAGGGUGCGAGCGUUAAUCGGAAUUCCUGGGCGUAAAGCGUGCGUAGACGGUUAUUUAAGUCGGGUGUGAAAGCCCCGGGCUCAACCUGGGAAUUGCAUUCGAGACUGAAUAGCUAGGGUACGGUAGAGGGAAGUGGAAUUUCCGGUGUAGCGGUGAAAUGCGUAGAUAUCGGAAGGAACAUCAGUGGCGAAAGCGACUUCCUGGACCAGUACCGACGUUCAGGCACGAAAGCGUGGGGAGCAAACAGG
rnacentral:rRNA from 1 species